AACGAACGCUGGCGGCAGGCUUAACACAUGCAAGUCGAACGCCCCGCAAGGGGAGUGGCAGACGGGUGAGUAACGCGUGGGAACAUACCCUUUCCUGCGGAAUAGCUCUGGGAAACUGGAAUUAAUACCGCAUACGCCCUACGGGGGCAAGAUUUAUCGGGGAAGGAUUGGCCCGCGUUGGAUUAGCUAGUUGGUGGGGUAAAGGCCUACCAAGGCGACGAUCCAUAGCUGGUCUGAGAGGAUGAUCAGCAACAUUGGGACUGAGACACGGCCCACACUUCUACGGGAGGCAGCAGCGGGGAAUAUUGGACAAUGGGCGCAAGCCUGAUCCAGCCAUGCCGCGUGAGUGAUGAAGGCCUUAGGGUUGUAAAGCUCUUUCACCGAUGAAGAUAAUGACGGUAGUCGGAGAAGAAGCCCCGGCUAACUUCGUGCCAGCCGCCGCCGUAACAC
rnacentral:rRNA from 1 species